rnacentral:rRNA from 1 species
CCUACGGGAGGCAGCAGUGAGGAAUAUUGGUCAAUGGGCGCGAGCCUGAACCAGCCAAGUAGCGUGCAGGAUGACUGCCCUACGGGUUGUAAACUUCUUUUAUAAAGGAAUAAAGUGAGGCACGUGUGCCUCGUUGUGUGUACUUUAUGAGUAAGGAUCGGCUAACUCCGUGUCAGCAGCCGCGGUAAUACGGAGGAUCCGAGCGUUAUCCGGAUUUAUUGGGUUUAAAGGGAGCGUAGAUGGGUUGUUAAGUCAGGCGUGAAAGUUUGCGGCUCAACCGUAAAAUUGCAAUUGAUACUGGCAGUCUUGAGUACAGUUGAGGUAGGCGGAAUUCGUGGUGUAGCGGUGAAAUGCUUAGAUAUCACGAAGAACUCCGAUUGCGAAGGCAGCUUACCAAGCUGCCACUGACAUUGAGGCUCGAAAGUGUGGGUAUCAAACAGGAUUAGAUACCCUUGUAGUC